rnacentral:rRNA from 1 species
GAGUUUGAUCGUGGCUCAGGACGAACGCUGGCGGCGUGCCUAACACAUGCAAGUCGAGCGAGUUGAUUCUCUUCGGAGAUGAAGCUAGCGGCGGACGGGUGAGUAACACGUGGGCAACCUGCCUCAUAGAGGGGAAUAGCCUCCCGAAAGGGAGAUUAAUACCGCAUAAGAUUGUAGCUUCGCAUGAAGUAGCAAUUAAAGGAGCAAUCCGCUAUGAGAUGGGCCCGCGGCGCAUUAGCUAGUUGGUGAGGUAACGGCUCACCAAGGCGACGAUGCGUAGCCGACCUGAGAGGGUGAUCGGCCACAUUGGGACUGAGACACGGCCCAGACUCCUACGGGAGGCAGCAGUGGGGAAUAUUGCACAAUGGGGGAAACCCUGAUGCAGCAACGCCGCGUGAGUGAUGACGGCC